CCUACGGGUGGCAGCAGUAGGGAAUCUUCCACAAUGCGCGAAAGCGUGAUGGAGCAACGCCGCGUGGAUGAAGAAGGCCUUCGGAUCGUAAAGCCCUGUCGUUAGAGAAGAAAAUGCGUGAGAGUAACUGUGUACGUAUUGACGGUAUCUGACUAGACAGCCACGGCUAACUACGUGCCAGCAGCCGCGGUAAUACGGAGGGGGCGAGCGUUGUCCGGAGUGAUUGGGCGUAAAGAGAACGUAGGCGGUGUUGUAAGUCAUUAGUCAAAGCCUUAGGCUCAACUUGAGUAAUGCAAGUGAUACUAGGAUACUAGAGUAUCAAAGAGGAGAGCAGAAUUCCAGGUGUAGCGGUGAAAUGCGUAGAUAUCAGGAGGAAUACCAGUGGCGAAAGCGGCUAUCUGGCUGGAAACUGACGCUGAGGUGCGAAAGCGUGGGUAGCAAACAGGAUUAGAUACCCGAGUAGUC
rnacentral:rRNA from 1 species